ACCGGAGCUAAUACCGGAUAAUAUAUUGAACCGCAUGGUUCAAUAGUGAAGGACGGUUUUGCUGUCACUUAUAGAUGGAUCCGCGCCGCAUUAGCUAGUUGGUAAGGUAACGGCUUACCAAGGCAACGAUGCGUAGCCGACCUGAGAGGGUGAUCGGCCACACUGGAACUGAGACACGGUCCAG
rnacentral:rRNA from 1 species